GACGAACGCUGGCGGCGUGCCUAACACAUGCAAGUCGAACGGAAAGGCCCUGCUUUUGUGGGGUGCUCGAGUGGCGAACGGGUGAGUAACACGUGAGUAACCUGCCCUUGACUUUGGGAUAACUUCAGGAAACUGGGGCUAAUACCGGAUAGGAGCUCCUGCUCCAUGGUGGGGGUUGGAAAGUUUCGGCGGUUGGGGAUGGACUCGCGGCUUAUCAGCUUGUUGGUGGGGUAGUGGCUUACCAAGGCUUUGACGGGUAGCCGGCCUGGGAGGGUGACCGGCCACAUUGGGACUGAGAGACGGCCCAGACUCCUACGGGAGGCAGCGGUGGGAAAUAUUGCACAGUGAGCCGAAGCGUGAUGCAGCGGCGCCGCGUGCGGGAUGACGGCCUUCGGGUUGUAAACCGCUGUCGCCUGUGACGAAGCGUGAGUGACGGUAAUGAGUAAAGAAGCACCGGCUAACUACGUG
rnacentral:rRNA from 1 species